GUACUGGUGAAGAGUCCCAAACUAGGACGAAACGGCUGUCCAGUAC
rfam:Trichobilharzia regenti genome assembly, scaffold: TRE_scaffold0000401